UGAAGUAUUACGUCAUUUACAAUAUAUUUUUUGUUGAAAUAUUCAAUUGAGUUGUCGUCUUGCAGAGCUGCUUCUUAGAGGCGUCGGUUUUCAAGAUGGAGGACCUUUAACAGUCGUCCCGUUUUUCCUCCAAAACGGACGCUUCGCUGGCAACAUGUGUGGGGUGUCUGCCUCUGUUUGUGGGCCAGUUCAACGGGUUCUGGUUUCCAGUGCAGUCGAAUGCAGUCGAAUGCAGUGGAACACAGUCGAAUGCAUCUGAAGUGCACUCUGGCCGGUAAAUCAUGGCAGCAACUUAAGAGGAGCGGCUGGAACCACAAGUACAGCACCGGCAUAGGCAUGUGGCAUAUGGCACGAAAAUGAAGUCAUCUCGGUCCAAUGGGAAGUGAUAAUGUGCUUCAAUGUAAAAGAAAAUGGAUUAAGUAAAUGGAGUUAAUUUCUUACA